AUGACCGUCGCAAGAGAGCUCCCGGUCCGGGGAUCGGGACGCCGAAGGGGCAAGGCGAGAGCCGAAUCUCUCAGGCCAAAGGAUUGCGGCGUGACG
rnacentral:ncRNA from 2 species